rnacentral:sRNA from 1 species
UUUAUAUUAUAAGAAUUAUGUUUUCUAUACGUUUCUACAAGUAUACGUUUUUUCUUCAUCAUUAGUAACCCGGGUUAUUCUUUCUGCAAGUAUUAUGCUAACCAGUAUUUUCUUAAUUUUAGUUUUCUCAUAAGAUUCACCUUGAAACUAUGUGUGAAGUAAAGAAAAUCUACCUUCAGGAUGAGUUUAGAAUUUUGAAGAAAAAGUCCUUCACUUUUCCAGGAGACCAUAAGUCAGUUACAGCUGAUACAGAGAUGUGGCCUGUCUAUGUGGAAUUGACCAAUGAAAAGAUAUAUGGCUGCGAUUUCAUUGUCAGUGCUACAGGAGUUACACCAAAUGUAGAACCUUUUCUCCAUGGUAACAGUGUAAGUUUGAUCUAGGAGAAGAUGGUGGCCUGAAAGUGGAUGAUCAUAUGCACACAUCCCUUCCUGAUAUCUAUGCUGCCGGUGACAUCUGUACUACAUCCUGGCAGCUGAGCCCAGUCUGGCAGCAGAUGAGGCUGUGGACCCAGGCUAGACAGAUGGGAUGGUAUGCAGCAAAGUGCAUGGCUGCAGCGAGUUCAGGAGACUAUAUUGACAUGGAUUUCAGCUUUGAACUGUUUG